UAGAUACCCUGGUAGUCCACGCCGUAAACGAUGUCGACUAGCCGUUGGGAUCCUUGAGAUCUUAGUGGCGCAGCUAAUGCGAUAAGUCGACCGCCUGGGGAGUACGGCCGCAAGGUUAAAACUCAAAUGAAUUGACGGGGGCCCGCACAAGCGGUGGAGCAUGUGGUUUAAUUCGAAGCAACGCGAAGAACCUUACCUGGCCUUGACAUGCUGAGAACUUUCCAGAGAUGGAUUGGUGCCUUCGGGAACU
rnacentral:rRNA from 1 species